GCGGGACGUCCUGGGAGCCCCAGCAGCUGGUGCGGGAGGAGGGUGGUGCUGGCCGUCUCCGAGUGCUCCCAGGGCCGGACAGUGAAUCGGGGUCCUUUUAUUCUAUUGUGGUAAAAUACACAUAAUGCGAAAUUUACCACAGUAGCCCCUUCUCAGCACCCUGCUCCGGGGCACUGACUCUGUUGUCUAGCUGUCCCCGCGUCAGUCUCCAGAGCUCUUCCAUCUUGCAGAACUGAAAUUCCGUCCCCAUGACACAUGAACCCCCAGCCCCCGGCCCCCACUCUGCUGUCUCAAGGAAUCCAACUGCUCUAGGGACGUCAGAGAAGGCGAAGCCUACAGGGUCUGUCUUUGUGGUCCUUUUAGACGUGGGCUUCCUGUGUGUGGUUCCCAAUUCCAUCUUCCUGACUUCUCACUCACUGGCUGGAAGCCCCUUCCCGAGAGCCAUGAUAGGAAGAACACUGGCCCCCCAGGCCCCAGACUGGAGCCUGACAGGGUCACGGAAUUGUGCAGAUGAAUCUUAAAAAAAAGAUGAACUAUUUCAAGCAUCAGAAAAAUGGAGAGCCAUAGAGCAGAGACCUGUCACACCGCCUACGUUAGCAAAGAGAGAGAGAGACCAAGCGCACGUCCACAAGCAGGGGCAGCAGCGGGCAGAGGGAAGGAGAGAAGCAGGGAGCUGGGAGCCCAACGGGGACCUCGAUCCCAGGACCCUGGGAGCACGACGCGAGCUGAAGGCAGACGCUUUACCCACUGAGCCCCCCAGGCGUCCCUCACUAUAAAUUUUUAUAGCAACGUUGAAAGUUACUCGUUAUUUCUCUCCUCUGGGAGUUUGAGCUUCCCACUGAACAUAACCCCCCACCACCGACCCCAGGCUUCAUUCUUACUUUUAGAAUUUCAGUUCCACUCUUUAACACACCGAAUCAGUUACUGGAUUUUCAUUAUUGAUCGCAAUUAAAUUAACCGGCAUGAUUUCUGUGUUCACCCUUGUUUCUUGCUGCCUUCUCUUCCCUCCUGGCUUGACUUUCCUUCCCGCCGAAGUUCACCCUUCGGUAAAUUUUCGGGGACGGUUUGUGGUUAGGGAACUCUCUCCUUACAGUUUGCAUGUUGAAAAUGGGCUUUGUUCUCACUGCUGAGUAAGAGCUUAGCUGGCUCCAGGAUUCUAGGAUGGGAGCUGGGUUCCUGCAGCCCUUGGACCGAUUGCUCCAGACUGCAAGAAACCUGCUGAAUUCUCAUUUCUCUGUGGAUGAUCUUUUUGUCUCUGAUAGCAUUCCAGACUUUUCUCCGUGUCCUCAGAUGGGCUGCAGGUUUGCUAAGGCAUCUCUAAUUAUGAAUGGGUAUUUAUUUAUCUGGUACAGCACGUUUCUUUUUUAGUUUCUAAGAGUUUUCAGCAGUUAUGUUUUAGAACAUGAUUUUUUGUAUCCUUCCUUCCAUUCUCUUCUUCUGAACCCCCUGUGAGAUGUAUUCUGGGACUUCUGCUCUGUGCUCCUGCAUUUCUUGCCUGUAACUUCUUGUUCUUAUCUGCUUCGUUUGUCUAUUUCUGGGUCACGUUCUGCAUGAUGUCUGCCAACUACCUCAUUCCUCAGUGUGUCCAAAACAUACGUCCUGUCUGUCGAGCUUUAACUUUCCUACUUCUCAUUUCCAGGAGGGCCAGUUGAUUCUUUAUCAUGACGGUUCGGUUCUGUUUCAUUUAAGCUGGUUUUGCUUUCAUAAUUUUUUCUCUUCUUUGAUGUUUCUUUGAUGUUCUUAAACACUUCAUUUGAAAAUCAUUUUCAAAGGCAUCUGGGUGGCUCAGUUGGUUAAGCAUCAGACUCGUGAUUUCGGCUCAGGUCAUUUUCAGGUUCCUCUAUUAUUUCCACUUCACCGGGAGGAACUUUAUAUCUGCUUGGUUGAUCUUCUUGAUUGUCUUUAUCAGUAUUAACUUUGCGCAUGUCUUGGGGAUCAGGUUUGUAGGUUAAUCUCGAGCCGAUGCUUCUGUCUCUCCAAUCUCUUCCACUACCCAGCCAUCCCCCAUUGUUCAGCUGCCUCCACCUGGCCUGCUGGGGGGGCCCAGUGCAGAACAAUGAAGCCAUGUGUUGUUGGCUCAGAGUGCCCGUUUCCUGGGGGGAUGUUGCGGACGCAGCUGCUGAGUCCAUGGGUGUCAUGACUCAGAAACUAUGGUUACUCCCUUCCACUUCUCUGGGCACACAGCUGGGAACCCGGACCCAGCCCCCGCCUCCUUUCAGUGUCUGUUCCUUGGGGAUGGGGAUCUUCAGUUUUCUUCCGGUUAUGUCUCUUAAGUUUCUCUUUUUACAGUUUAUCUGCCUUUGCUAUAUGAGAUAACUUGGAAAAUUGAAUUUGAAGUGCCAUCUACUUUUUUAAGCUUUAAAUAUUUCCUUUUACUAUAAAUCCAUAAAAAAUAGAAAACCAGUGUAAAUUUUCAGUUUCCUGGAAUAUAAUGGGUUUGGAGGUUCACUUUUAAAAAUGAAACCUCAUCAAGAUGACCCAAAUGUGAGCUCAGCUGCACAUUUUCCCCCCUCCAUAGUGGCGGACCCUUCCAGCUGAGUGCAGGCAACAGAAAAUAAAUUAGUGUUCCCAUUUCAAAGUUGGAGGCAAUAAUAUCUCCUUGUAAGGUAAAUGGGGUAAGCUUCUUUCUGUUGGAAGCCUCUUUGCUAACUGAACUUAAUUUUUUUAGAAAUUAUUUUAUUGAAUUACAGCACGACACGGCAAAGUGUACACAUCCUACGUGAUCACGUGAUGAGCCUCUGUACAGGGACUUAGCAGGGUGGCCUCCAUCCAAUCCUGGGCAAGCCUGUGGCCUCGGGAAGGUCAUGGUCUCCAUUCCGUGGGUAUGCCUUUAUGUCUUAAAAACUACUUGGGAUGUAGUCAUACUACAGAAAAUAUUUGCUGCUCAGCUGGAAGUUCAAAUCUCAUGGGGCGUUCUGUGUUCGGUCCUGCAACUUGACCGAGGGACACCCGCAGAGCACAAGGGCUGAGCGGAGUGUGCCCAGAGCGCCGGAGGGUGCCUGCCCCCAUCCCCCCGCCCCAGCUCUGUGACCCGCGGCACCUGCACCGCAGCCCCUGGCAGGCCUUGUAUUUACUUAUGCUUUUAAUGAGAGCGAAUUAAGAUUCACUUACUCUGGAGAACUGUGACAUGAUGGCUCUUAUGAGAAGUGGAGACACCUGGCUUUUCUCUGCCUGGCGUGUCCCGCGUGGGGUUCCGCGGUCCCAUGUUUAUGGCACCGGGGGAGGGAAGGCCGCUCCUGCCCUCACUCACUCACCUGGGGACGGGGGAGCCCCCUGUCACACCGCAGCCCCACCACAGCCCGGAGCAGACGUUCUCACCAUGAGACGGGGAGGAAACAGAAGCACAGACUUCGCUCCUGCAGGGGCCCAUCCCGGUGAUACGUGGAGCUCUGGGAUGUCCACCCGGGCCCUGGGGUUUCCCUGCAGCAGGCCGGUGGCUUGAGCCCAGGGAGCACUUGGGAAAGCUCCACAGCCAGACCUCCUGACCCAACGGGCCUGGCCCAGGGCCUGGUGGGGAGCUCUGAAAGCUCGCUGGGCGAUGCCAGGGGACAGAGACGAAUCUAGCAUCUUCCCGCAGGUCCUCCCGCCCCGUGGAGAAGGAGGAGGAGGAACUCCGGGGUGCUGAGGCCCGAGGGCGAGGUGGGGCACAGGGGGGCAUGAGCAGAGGCACAGAGGUGUGGGCUGUGCUCCUGGGCCAGUAGAGGGCUGAGCUCCAAAGGCGGGUUUGCCUCUGGCUUUCCUCUCCACCUUGCUGGGGAUUCCCGUUACCUCCACCCCCCAGCCCCCGCCGAAAGCAUGGGUGCGGUGUCGGCGAGGGUGCCAGGCUCUUUCCCGCCUUGCCACGGGGCCUGGCGAUUUUCCCAUCGGAAAGCUCAUCCUGGCUCCUCCUCCUGGAGGGCAGUGGCGGGGAGAGGAGGAGCGGGCAAGGCCGGCCGGAAGUGACAAGGGCAAGGGAGAGCAGGCCCAGGGUCAGCGGGCCUUCACGCGCAGCUGGCGGCGGAGUCUGGCCCGCCCUGCCCCCACGGACCAAUGGCCCUCCCAUGAGCAUCCUUUCCCAGAGCAUGUCCCGGGGAACCCGCAAGGCACUUGUAACAAAGGAGUCCUGGUGUCCUAAGUUUGGGAAACGCUAUGUUCUGUAACUCUGGUCAGAGCCUCACCACAUCCAUGAGCACAUUAAAGGCUCUGAGAAAUCCUACAGCAAAAUGCUGCCCAUUAGUUUUUUUU